AUGACUUUGAUCUGCGUCCUCAUCUGGACUCUCCUCUGCUGCUUCUUCACAGAGUCCAGAGGUCAGGUCACAGUGACUCAGCCUGCAGCAGUGAGAGUUGAUCUUGGAGGAUCUGUCACCAUCAAAGGUAGAACCAGUCAUGAAGUUUUUAGUUCUAAUCGUUUAGCCUGGUAUCAACAGAAAGAUGGACAAACUCCUAAAUUCCUUAUUUAUUAUAUCAGCACUCGGGGGUCCGGGACUCCAAGCCGUUUUACAGGCAGUGGAUCAAAGUCUGACUUUAUUUUGACCAUCAGUGAAGUUAAGGCUGAAGAUGCUGCAGUUUAUUACUGUAAGAGUUACCACCGCAUUGGCAGCCAGUGGCCUUUCACACAGUAA